GAUUUUGAAAUCGGCUGCAGUGUUAGAGAUGCGAAGGCAACUUACAAGAUUAAAAUUAAAUUUGGUUGAUGAUGGUUCUGGACAAAUACAGCUCUUUUAUUUGAGGUAUGCCAUUUUGAAGACAGACCCGUGGAAUUUUAUCCUUGAGGAUAGGGGAAAUCUUUGUGAAAGUCUGUAUUUUAUAAAGCAACAAUAUGAAUCCUGAGGCUGAAUUGUCUAAGGGGCCUGUACAGCGAAAUAGAUGUAAGUUUUACUCAAUUUACAUGUUUAAUUUGUUUUUUACUUUUACAUGUGACUUUGGAAAUUCUGAGUAAUUGAGUCAGAGUCUCUAAAAAUGUAGAAGAAUUUAGUGAAGUUCCAAGCAGUACAGAUAUAAAUCAACAUAGAUGUAUGUGGCUUAUUAUUAAAAUUUUGGUUAUUAUUCCAACCUCUUUUCCUUUCUUUACUUAAAGAGAGGUAUAAAUGGAUGGAAGGAAACUCACAUUUGAACAUUCUUCUAAUACUGCACCCUAGCUGUUGGUAAGCUCCCCAUUUUUAUAAAUAAAGUUUUAUUGGAACACAGCUAAGCUCUUUCAUUUACGUAUUAGCUGUGUCUGCUUUCUGACUACAGCUGCAGAGAGUAGAUUUAGCUAAUGGCCACAAACCCUAACAUAUUUAGUUAUUUAGUAUUUUAACCUGUAAGGAAAUCUUGCCUAUCCUUUCCCUAGAUUCAUCCUUUUUGUCAACUUUAUGUAGAACUCAAAAGCACUUGGAUUCUCUUAAUAAUGGGGGUGUACCUUUUACUUUGUUAGUAUUUCAUUGUUAGAAUUCAAAUAACAUAAGUAAUCAUGAGCUUGGCUUAAACUCCAAAGCCCAACAAAGGUUCUUUCACACCAGCAUUAUGCUUUAAUAUUAGAAGAUUUGGGGAGUUCCUGGUGUGGCACAGUGGAAAUGAAUCAACUAGUAUAGUAUCCAUGAGGAUUUGGGUUCUAUCCCCGGCCUCACUCAGUGGAUUAAGGAUUUGGAGUUGCUGUGAGCUGUGGUGUAGGCCAGCAGCUGCAGCUCUGAUUCGACCCCUAGUCUAGGAACUUCCUUAUGACACAGGUAUGGCCCCAAAAAGCAAAAAAAAAAAAAAAA
rnacentral:lncRNA from 1 species